AUUGAACGCUGGCGGCAUGCUUUACACAUGCAAGUCGAACGGCAGCGAGGAGAAGCUUGCUUCUCUGUCGGCGAGUGGCGCACGGGUGAGUAUAGCAUCGGAACGUGCCAAGUAGUGGGGGAUAACCAAACGAAAGUUUGGCUAAUACCGCGUAAGCUCUAAGGAGGAAAGUAGGGGACCUAAAUAAGGCCUUACGCUAUUUGAUCGGCCGAUGUCGGAUUAGCUAGUUGGUGGGGUAAUGGCUCACCAAGGCAAUGAUCCGUAGCGGGUCUGAGAGGACGAUCAGCCACACUGGGACUGAGACACGGCCCAGACUCCUACGGGAGGCAGCAGUGGGGAAUUUUGGACAAUGGGGGAAACCCUGAUCCAGCCAUGCCGCGUGUAUGAAGAAGGCCUUAGGGUUGUAAAGUACUUUUGUUAGGGAAGAAAAGCUAGUUUUUAAUAAAAAUUAGUGAUGACGGUACCUAAAGAAUAAGCACCGGCUAACUACGUG
rnacentral:rRNA from 1 species